UGAACGCUGGCGGCAUGCCUUACACAUGCAAGUCGAACGGCAGCACGGGGGGCAACCCCUGGUGCGGAGUGGCGGAACGGGUGAGUAACUGCAUCGGGACGUGCCCAGUAGUGGGGGAUAACCAGUCGAAAGAUUGGCUAAUACCGCAUACGACCUAAGGGUGAAAGCGGGGGACCGUAAGGCCUCGCGCUAUUGGAGCGGCCGAUGUCUGAUUAGCUAGUUGGCGGGGUAAGAGCCCACCAAGGCGACGAUCAGUAGCUGGUCUGAGAGGACGACCAGCCACACUGGGACUGAGACACGGCCCAGACUCCUACGGGAGGCAGCAGUGGGGAAUUUUGGACAAUGGGCGCAAGCCUGAUCCAGCCA
rnacentral:rRNA from 1 species